CCUACGGGAGGCAGCAGUGAGGAAUAUUGGUCAAUGGACGAGAGUCUGAACCAGCCAAGCCGCGUGAAGGAUGACUGCCCUAUGGGUUGUAAACUUCUUUUAUAUGGGAAUAAAAUGUUCCACGUGUGGGAUUUUGUACGUACCAUAUGAAUAAGGAUCGGCUAACUCCGUGCCAGCAGCCGCGGUAAUACGGAGGGUCCGAGCGUUAUCCGGAUUUAUUGGGUUUAAAGGGAGCGUAGGUGGAUUGGUAAGUCAGUUGUGAAAGUUUGCGGCUCAACCGUAAAAUUGCAGUUGAAACUGGGUGUCUGGAGUACAGUAGAGGUGGGCGGAAUUCGUGGUGUAGCGGUGAAAUGCUUAGAUAUCACGAAGAACUCCGAUUGCGAAGGCAGCUCACUGGACUGCAACUGACACUGAGGCUCGAAAGUGUGGGUAGCAAACAGGAUUAGAUACCCGGGUAGUC
rnacentral:rRNA from 1 species